UACGAAGGGGGCGAGCGUUAUUCGGAAUCACUGGGCGUAAAGCGUGCGUAGGCUGUUCUGCAAGUCAGGAGUGAAAGCCCAAGGCUCAACCUUGGAAGCGCUCUUGAAACUGCAGGACUUGGAUUUGGGAGAGGAUAGCGGAAUUGUCAGUGUAGCAGUGAAAUGCGUAGAUAUUGACAGGAACACCAGUGGCGCAAGCGGCUAUCUCGGACCAACAUCGACGCUGAGGCACGAAAGCGUGGGGAGCAAACAGG
rnacentral:rRNA from 1 species